GGAAGCCGUGAUAAGGAAACCCCUUAGUGCCAGCACAGGCUGGCUGUCCACCAGAUGUAAAUAACUGGUGAAGAAAGGGCCGGGCAAGACCGGUGCCAGCCGCCGCGGUAAUACCGGCGGCUCGAGUGGUGGCCGCUAUUACUGGGCUUAAAGGGUCCGUAGCUGGAUAUACAAGUCCCUUGAGAAAUCCGCCGGCUUAACCGGUGGGCGUUCAGGGGAAACUGUAUUUCUAGGGACCGGGAGAGGUGAGAGGUACUGCCGGGGUAGGAGUGAAAUCCUGUAAUCCCGGUGGGACCACCUAUGGCGAAGGCAUCUCACCAGAACGGGUCCGACAGUGAGGGACGAAAGCUGGGGGAGCAAACCGGAUUAGAUACCCGGGUAGUCCCAGCUGUAAACUAUGCAAACUCAGUGAUGCAUUGGCUUAUGGCCAAUGCAGUGCUGCAGGGAAGCCGUUAAGUUUGCCGCCUGGGAAGUACGUACGCAAGUAUGAAACUUAAAGGAAUUGGCG
rnacentral:rRNA from 1 species